CCCGGAUGGAACGGCCUGUUUGAGCUCUUUUUUGGCGGCGGCAAAGCCGCCGCCAAAAAAAGCGAGUAGUGACAGCCGGAAAAGGC
rnacentral:misc_RNA from 1 species